CGGUCAANCCCCGGGCUGUUCUAGUGGCGGACGGGUGAGUAACGCGUGGGCAACCUGCCCCGUACCGGGGGAUAACACCUGGAAACAGGUGCUAAUACCGCAUAAUAAGAGGUUCCGCAUGGGACCUCCUUGAAAACUCCGGUGGUACGGGAUGGACCCGCGUCUGAUUAGCUGGUUGGCGGGGUAACGGCCCACCAAGGCGACGAUCAGUAGCCGGCCUGAGAGGGUGGACGGCCACAUUGGGACUGAGACACGGCCCAGACUCCUACGGAAGGCAGCAG
rnacentral:rRNA from 1 species